AGACCUCCAUCACUGCCUGGACAGUUCUGGGGAACAGCUCUCUUUGCUUUAUGUAUGUGUGCGUGCACAUGUGUCAUACACAUGUGUUUGUUGGUUUUGUUCCUGUGGGGGUCCUAAUGCAUCAACCAGGCAGCUUAAAAAAAAAAACUGAAUAAAAUAAAUUCCAAGACAAAAUGUGGUGGCUUCUGGAUUUCACUGUGGUUCAAGUAGAUCCACUUUAGUAACAGUCAGGGGGCAGGUGCCUGUGAGUGCAACUAUUUUAAUUGCAGUUGUCAUUUAUUCCUCCUCAGCCGUCUGAGUUUAGACAGGCUACAAAAGCUCACUAAGCCACAGAGUCCGCACAUGUGCAAUGGGAACCCCAUUAGUUUCCCAGGAUGACUACAUAAAGCACCGGGGUCCCAGCACCACAAACAACAGAAAGAAGUCAUUGACCCCCAGUCUGGAGGCCACAGUGACAGUGUCAGCGAGGUCGGCUCCACUAUGGUCCCCCCGGGGUAAAAUAGUCCCAGGCUUCUCUCCCAUUCCUGGGCGCUGGCUCGCCAGCUUUGGUGGUGACCCUUGGCUUAUGGAGCUAUCCCCUGCUCCAGCCCUCUACCUCUGUCACUAUCACCUGACCGCCUGUCCUCUGGCUCCCAUGUGUAUCUCUUCCUCCCUCUCUUUACGAGGUGUUACAGUGAACUUCAUUCUACAGGGUCAGCCGCCUGCUGAGCCUCAAGCCUCUUGGGUCACUUCUUGCAGGAUCCCUUUGUGACAAAUGACAUACCACCCCUCUCUCCUUGCCCACUUCUCAUUUUCCUUCCCAGCCCUUAGGACCACCUGACCUGCUGUAUAGUUGUUGUUAAUAAUUUAUGGUCUCUUCUCCCUAUGGCAAUGUACAAGGUUCAGGAGACCAGCACACCUUAGAAGUUGCUUGCUUCCUAUAUCCCACAGCUUCUUAAACUCUGGGUUCAGACAUCAUAUGGGGCCGCACAACUGAAUGUGAGGGUUGUGAAAAACUGCCACCAGGAAAGGAUUUCUGAACAUUCAAGGAGCAAAACUUAAUUGAAAAUCAAAUGUGUAAUGAAUUGAGAUUGCGUGGGCUGCCUUCACAGAGGCCUUGGUUCUGAACACACAGCACGUGUAUUCUGCCCCGUGCAUGCUGUCACACCAGCCAGUGCUGAAGAACACUGCCCGGAGCCCCCAGGCUCAGAUUUAAGACCAUUUUUUGCUGCAAACCACAGUGUUUUCACUGCAUGUACAAAGUGAUCUGCUCUUAGAGAAACAUAAUAGUUUAAUUACAGAAAACAGAGACUGUUCAUAUUUUCAUACCGCCAUCCUCAGCAUGUAAGCACCAAAUUGGAGUAUUUUUGGAUUGCACUGCAUUAAGAUGCUAGAUUUUAAAAUUUGCUAUUUGAGCUGCUCACUCAAGUUUCACGGAAAAAAAAUCAUUACAUGAAUUUUGGCUUGAGAUUAGGAUAGAAUUUCAGCAAUUUCUGAAAUGGCCCUAAAUAUAAUUCUACCAUUUUGUACUACAUAUUUAUGCAAAGCGCCUUUCUCAGCACUAGUGAUUAUAAAAUCAAAAUAAUGAUCAACUCCGAAAAACACUGAAGAUGUUCUGCAUCCUUUAGUAUCAAAUAUUCAGCCAAGAUUUAAUUAUUGAUAUAAAAAUAAGCAAGCACAUCCAUCUCAUUAGUAUGCAGAUUUCCUUUUGUCUUUAACAAAUGGUAAAGUUAUACUUAUACCAACCAUUUUACAAUAAAUUUCCUUAUGAGUUAUUAUCAGAAAAUGUUUGAUUUGUAUACCUAGUUUACACGUCUACAGACCUGGGAAUCACACACACAUGCACACGCACACACAAUUCUCCAGCAGGAAGAGGUCACGGAUAGACAGGGGUGAGAAAGUCUUGCUUCGUCCCUGCAGCUUAGGACAGAACAGGAAAGACCAGAUUGUAAAACAGAAGCAAGAAAUUAUCUGAGUUGUGAAUGAUGUUAAGAGUCAAGCCACGUUUUUCUGCUGAAUGGCCCACAUUGUCCAUCUGCAAUAAAGUCCAGCCUCAGAAUGUGGGGACAGCACAGAGUUGCCCCAGAAUGCACAAGGCCUUAACAUUGACAUUUCCCUGGUCUGUAUUCAUAUACACCCCAAAUACCAUGAUAAGUAAAAGUCACUAAUUCAGAAGACUAACAUUUAUAGGUGAAAAAUGUCCAGGUUGUCUGUGACAGGUGCUGUUUGUCCAAAUACCAUGGGAAACAUCAAGAGUUGGAAAAUAUGAGAGAUGAUUUUUGCCUCUAAUCCUCGGGAACCAUCUGAACACACCACCCUUCUUCCCAGAUAGUUGAAACACAGGCAGACAGGUUGUACACAGUUCCUUUAUAUUUUCUUUUAUUGGCUCACAGGACAUUAUGUGGUGUUUCUUUAACAACUGAAAAGGUCGCAUGUACUAGAGAACAGUCUACAAUUCUUUUGUAUCCUUCGUAACAGUUAUCAAAAUAAAGUACUAUUAUUUUUUAAUCAUUAAUUGUUCAGAUUUUUUCCCCCUCGAACAGCUUGAAUUCUUUAUUGUUUUUCAGGGUUUGGGAAACAAGGACCCUUUCGCUGGGCUUAUUGGCCAAUUAUUUUGUUUUGAAAAUAUGGCAGCAGGAGGAAGUCUGUCUUUGCCAAAGAAAAAGGCCUCCAUGGAGCUGGCUAUGCUGGGCCCAGUCAACUCAUCUUCAGGCACAGAGCUUGGAGGUUAGGCCAGGGACAACGGGCCUACAGCUAUCUUUUUUUCUGGAUGCUGGUUGGAAAAUGUUCCCUAAGAGAAACAUCUAAGUUACUCAGGCGUGUGUGUGUGUGUGUGUGUGUGUGUGUGUGUGUGUGUGUGUGUAUGUGUGUGUGUGUGCGCCUGUGCGUGUGCACGUGCGGGCUCACAUGCUCACUACACAGGCACAGUAGGUAUUUUGGGCUAAUUUCCCUUCUCAAGAAGGGCAUCCUGUGGUAUUUAUGAAAUGGAGAAAUGUAGGUGACCCAGCAUUUAACAUCGCUGCAUUCAGCAUGCUGUGUGUAAGCCCAGAGUGGAGAAAAGGAGCACCUGCAGGCAUUUGUUCCCUCUGGGAAGUGGAAGAGCACUCCUUGUGAAUGGCUCUUCUUCGUCUUCUUGUUUUAGCCUAAGGUCCAGCCUGGUGCCUGGGGAACAGAGAAAGCCCUGUGCUGAGGGAGGGCGGACUGCUGAGCUGACACUUCCUGCUUUCCCCUGGGCAGUCCUCUGGAGGGGACACCCUCAAUCUGGAUGCAGGCCUGCCUGUCAGCUCACGCCUGGAAAGGCCUGUUAGACCACACUGCUUUGCCAAAUUUGCUGUUAGUAACAUUUAGAUUCUAUAUUUACUGUCUGGAGCUCGCCAACCCUGCCACCCCACGAACGCUAAAAAUUAGAGAUGCCAACAGACGGGAGGGUGGGACAGUCCCUUUCAAAAACCUGGCUGCUUUGGCUAUCAACGCCUGGCAAGCCAAGCGGCUCCUGGAGCCAGGCUCCCGCGGGCCCUGCCUCCCGCCCACCGUGCUGCCUGCCAGGGACGCUGUGUGCCUCCCAGGAGCCAAGUGCAGCCGGCCUGCCCAAAGCCUUUCAGGGAGAAUUAAAUUACCUGCUAACUACCUAAACAGCUCCUGUGUGGGUAGGGGUCCUCAUUCAUUUUAUUUCCUUGGGCCAGGGGAGAGCAAAGGUAGCAGAAAGGGACACAGGUGGAAAUGGGGAGAGAGAGAACUACCCAGGAAGGAUACAGUGGCUGGCCUGGCUCCUGGCGGCUGGUCCUGGCAGCUGCUCCCGCGGGGCACAGCAGCUCUUGGGCGAGGCAACCUGGACCCGGUUACCCUGGCAACCCGUUUCCCUGGUUACCGGAGGCAGGCGGUCCAGGAGGAGCGGCAGCACCAAGGGCUACAUGUAAGAGUAUAAGAAUGAGCUAUAUCUCACUGCUGAACCCUGGAACAGAAGGUAGAUGUCAGAAAGACACUAAAGUCAUCAAAAUACAAUUCAGAGUUGUUUACAGAGCACAGGGGUCAGGCCUCGACCCAGACCAGUACAGCACACAGCAGUGUUCACUGGGAGGAGUGGAGAAAUCUGCCACUGCCUGCCCUGCUUCCCUCUGGAACAGAUGAACAGCCAGACCACCUGCAGCAUAAGCCAAGAGGCUACACCUGCAGAUGGCUUCAGGGGAUCUGGGUCCACCAGGGUGGGGAAGGUGUGAGAGCAGAACCAUGUUCAUGCCAGAGGAAGCUUGUUCACCCCCUGGCAGAUGAGGAAGCAGAGAGGUCCACCAGGGUGGGGAAGGUGUGAGAGCAGAACCAUGUUCAUGCCAGAGGAAGCUUGUUCACCCCCUGGCAGAUGAGGAAGCAGAGAGGUCCACCAUGGUGAGGAAGGUGUGACAGCAGAACCAUGUUCAUGCCAGAGGAAGCUUGUAGAGCACCUUGUUCACCCCUUGGCAGAUGAGGAAGCAGAGUACGCCAGGCAGAACCCAAAGCAGAUGUCAUGGGAAAGGCCCACCUCCACCCAACCAUUCAGUUAACCAGGUCACAGCCUAAUGAUUCAAGUGCCUCCUAAAACAGUGCCACCAUCUGGAGACUAAAAGUUUAAACAUGUGAGCCUGUGGGGGACAUUUGCCAUCCCAACUACAGCACUUGGGGAUGUCUUUCCCAAUGACCAGAGUGUGGUCUGUGAAGAAUCUAAUGCCCUCCACCACCAUACUGAGCUCUGGGACACAGAUUGGGGGGGGGGGGAAUGAAGGGUUUUUCCUCUCCUUGUUGGAUGGCUUGCAGUAGCUAAUCUGAUUAUAAUUCCCUUGUGGAUGAAGACAGACAAAUCAAAGGUCUCUGCUGGAAAACUUUUGUGCAGAUUAUCAAGGCACUGUGAUUAUUCAUGGUGAACUAACUUGAUUCUCAUGCAAAAUGUCAACUGGAUAUCCAGGCAGAGAGUGAUGUGGAAAGUUUGUGCAGCUUGGAUGCAUGCAGAGUCACAUCUGAAGAGGUCUCUUCUGAUAGUUUCUCUCACCAGUGGGGACCAUCUUGCUAAACCCUGAUGCUGUGAAGUCUUCACACAAGAGUUGUGCUGAGGCUUGGCAAACAGCAGCUGUGUUAGAAGUUUGAUUCCUUUCCUCGGAUGGAUUUCACACUAAGUCUUAGUCUUAUUUCUUUGUUUUCCAUUUUUUCAAACCCAUACUAAAUCUCAGUGUGGGGUCAUCCUUCGCAGUACAAAGUCAUCCAAGGAAACAUCUCUAGAAUCUUCAUGGGCAGCAAAGCGAGUGGAGGGACAUGAAAUUUCCUUCUGAAUAAUUGCUGUCCAAAUGUUGAUUUUUGCCUUUGGAAAACGCAUACCUUGAAAAGCCGGUGUCUGAGCAUGCCAGUACAAUACAGCCAAGCAUCUGGUGCGGAGAGACGCUCUGCUGGCACGUCCCGAGCAGUUCUGAAAAUUGUUGAAUGUGCUCUAUUGUAUUUCAGUGCACAUAUCUACAAGUGGAAGGAGCCAUCCACAGUCCACACUGAGGCUCAGUUUCCAGAGCCGGUUCCUGGGAGCACCACACCCCCUACCCCCAGCAGCUGGAACAGGAAGAACGCACUAUGGUUGGGGGAGUCAAGGCAGCCCGCCUCAUCCAUCAGACACCUUCUGAUCAAUGUGAAAUCUCUUAACUUGAAAUCCUGCUUACUAAAAGGUGUUGGUGCAUGCAACACAGCAAGUUCCACUGUGGAUGGAAGAUGAGUGACACUGGUUGUCACCUUCUACAAGAUGAGUUAUCACCUUCUACAAGCAAAAUGCGAGGCAGAGGAGUCGAAGGGCAGGAAGAUAACUAUUGCACACCUAAGAAGAGGUGGUCUGGGGCUGUGAUGAUGAGCUCAUGGCCCACGUCCACACUGGCUUGUAGUGUAAUUCUAAACAGUCUUAUUAAAUAAGAAACACAGAGCCAAACAAAGAGUUAAAAGCCCAGAGAUCAAGCAGUAGCCAAGAGCUAAGACCACCUUAUCUUACCACUCGCUGCCAUCCUUCCCCUGAGAGAAAGACCUUCUUCCUGUGUCCUGUCUUUUUAUUGCUUUUCUGUUGUGCCUUCUCAUUGGCUGUAAACCCAACCACAUGACUUCCUCAUCACUGCUUGUCUAUACAGUCCUCCAGGUCUCUAUGGUUGUACUGAGAUUAAAGGUUCGGGUCACCGCUUGGCUGUGUCCUUGAACACACAGAGAUUCUGCCUGCCAUGUGAUCAGAUUAAGGGCGUGUGCUACCACUACCAGACUUCUGCUUAAUGGCUUGCUCUUAGCUCUGACCCCCAGGCAACUUAUUUAUUAACAUACAAAUAAAAUCACAUUUCAACACAAAUAAAAUAGCACCCUACUGGCUGGGUCUUGUGGCCCACCAGGAACUGCCAUUUUCUUUGUAUGCUGUUUAUUAAUUUGUUUGGAUUUUUGAAACAGAGUCUCCCUCUGUAGCUCAUGUUGGCCUUAAGUCACUAUGGAGCCAGGCUGGGUUUGACCUCAGCAAUGCUCCUGCCUCUGCCUUCUGAAUGCUGGGUUUGCACGCAUGAGUCACAGUGCUGGCACCAAACAUGCUCAUUUGCAAUCUCUUUAUUAGUCUUAAAGAUAAGAGCUAUUAUCCUCAUUCAAGGAUAAUUGAGGCAAAGAAUUGAAGUAGUGUUUUCAAAGUUGGUCCACUCAAAGAAAGGCCAGUCAAGAACAAAAACGGUAAGAGAGAGUUGUGGCGGCCUUGUGAAGAGGAUCGUUUAUUGAUUGGUGCAGAGUAAGCCAUGGAAAAUUCGGUGGUGUAAGACGACUUCUCAUCUUUCUGUAGGUCAGGAAUGGGAGGACUGGGCAUUCUGACCUGGGGUGCUUCAUGAGGGACAGCCACUAGAAGACACAGCAGCUGGGUUCCCCAGUGAGUGAUGCCAAAGAGAAAUAAGCAGGCAGCAGCCAUCCCCUCCAUGACACAGCCAGCGAGUCACGUAGCAUCACUUAGCCCACGUUGUAUUCAUUGGAAGUGAUUUGCCAAGUCCAGAGGGGAAUUAGGCUCUACCUUUUGAAAGGAGGAAUGUCAACAAAUUUGCAGGUAUAUAUUAAACAUACCACAGGGACCAAGCAUGAGCAAGGAUGGAAGUCACCUUGAGAAGACUGUGUGUGGCAGGGGUGGCUGGAGAGUGGAAGGGGAAAUGGAAGUCACGGCUGGAAAGCUCAGCGGCCAUGAGAAGGGCCAAACCUUACACUCUGGGUUGAAUGUGGACUGUAUGAGAAUGUCACCCAUCCCCACAGAGAUUUUUAACAGGGUAAAUAACUCAGUUGAGCCAAUUACAUAAUGAAUAUAAUCUAGUAAAUGUAAUCUGGCCUGUGUUAGGUAGAGGGCAGGAUGUUCUCAUAAUCUUUCAGUGAUACAGACUCCAGACUGGUUUGGAAAAGAUUAAAGAAAGCUUUCCUUUGCUCUCUUGAAUUCUGCUUCAGCACAGUUCUCCAGGCCAGCUGUUAGCAACGGCCCCAUCAGGUGACAAAUACAUUCAGCUCAGGGCGACACAGAGCUCUAGAAGGUUUGAUUCCCAUGUUGUUGACAUGCAGAAAAAGCAAUGGGAAAUGUGUGGGCUGAAUUUGGGCCUCCUGAAGGGAGUUUGCCUAUCCCUCCCUCCAACCCUCUGGGUACUGGAUGGGAAGGCACUCCUUGAUCAUACAGGCAGGAUGGUUUCUCAGGUCCUCAUGGAACUCAGGAUGAAACAGCACAAAGGACAGGUUUAGCAAAAUAGGAGAAACAAACUUUGAGUGGAAGGAGUUGAUCGGAGACUGCCCCCAGAACUGUGCUGGCCUGUGGGAGAGGCCUGGGAUCAGGGCACUAGCCCAAGUCCCUACAUUCAUAAGACAGAGACCUUGAGAGUCACCACUGAUGUAAGGAAAAGGUAUUGUCAGUAAAAGAUGAAGCAAAGGGUGGCAGAGGAAACACUCAAGGUAGCAAGGGAGACAGUGGUAGGUUGACAUGUACCCAGAGGCAGAACACUUGGCUAGAAAGUGCAAGGCCCUGGGGUGGAACCUCAGAAACACACACACACACACACUCACACACACACACACACACAAACUGCAAGGGACACAGUGCAGGAUGGUGGCAAGUGUGUGUGGGAGAUGUCAGCCACAUGCAAAUGAGAUGUCUGGUAUUCACAACAGUCUUUCUAAGCAUCUCAGGAACUUAUUGACUCACUGCUACUUCAGAGUCGUAGGGUUCGUGGUCUUUAUUCUAGGCAACAUGAGAAAUUACAAAGUAUUUAUGUGUCUUUCUCUAUUUUCAAAUGCCCAGAAUAAGCCAGGCAUGGAGACACAGGCCUGUAAUUCCAGCAAGGCAGGAAGGUCAUGAGUUUGAGUCCAGCCCAAGACACAGAGUGAAUUCAAGGCUAGUGUGGGCAACUGAAAGAGAUGUUGUCUCGAAAUAAGAAGGCAAAUAAAAGUUGGGCAUGUAGAUCCAUGUUGGAAUACUUCCAUAGCAUCUAUAAGACCCUGGGUUCAAUCUCCAGGUAUAUAUAAAAAAAACCUGAACAUAAUUAAAAGCCACAUCAAGCAUGUAAUAUUUUAUAAAAUUUGAAAUUGACAUGGAAUGAUGGAAAUGUGUUCAUAUGUAUAUAUUGGUGAUUAUACAUGUACUAUAUGAUAAAUACUGAUAUUAAUAUGAGUAGAUUCUUAUAUCUGACAUAUGCAUAUUUAUUUAAAAGCUGUGUGUGUAUGUAAAUGUGUAAAAUUGUCAACAUAGUUAAAGCAAUUGAGGUAAUAUGGCAUACUAAUCAGAAAUUUUGAAAUGCAAUUAUUUUUAAUUCUAGGUCUGUAAAAUUAAAGCAUAUUUGUGAAUACAU